rnacentral:rRNA from 1 species
CAUAAUAAUUAGUUUUUUAAUUGAAAGCUUGGAUGAAUGGUUGGACAAAGAAAUACCUGUCUUUAAAAUUAUUAUAGAAUUUAACUUUUAAGUGAAAAGGCUUAAAUUUUUUAGAGGGACGAUAAGACCCUAUAAAAGUUUAUAUAUUGAUUAUUAAAUUUAAAUUAUUUAUAUUAAUUACAUUAUUAAUUAUAUUUUAUUGGGGCGAUAGAUAAAUAAUUUUAUUAACUGUUUAUAUUUAAUACAAUUAUAAAUGAAAUAUUAAUGAUCCUAAAUAAAGAUUAAAAGAUUAAGUUACUUUAGGGAUAACAGCGUAAUUCUUUUUGAAAGUUCUUAUUAAAAAAAGAGUUUGCGACCUCGAUGUUGAAUUAAAAUAUCUAUUAGGCGCAGAAGU